AACGAACGCUGGCGGCAUGCCUAACACAUGCAAGUCGAACGAGACCUUCGGGUCUAGUGGCGCACGGGUGCGUCACGCGUGGGAACCUGCCCUUAGGUUCGGAAUACCUCCCCGACAGGGGUGCUAAUACCGGAUAAUGUCUUCGGACCAAAGAUUUAUCGCCUUUGGAUGGGCCCGCGUUGGAUUAGCUCGUUGGUAGGGUAAAAGCCUACCAAGGCGACGAUCCAUAGCUGGUCUGAGAGGAUGAUCAGCCACACUGGGACUGAGACACGGCCCAGACUCCUACGGGAGGCAGCAGUGGGGAAUAUUGGACAAUGGGCGAAAGCAUGAUCCAGCAAUGCCGCGUGAGUGAUGAAGGCCUUAGGGUUGUAAAGCUCUUUUACCCGGGAUGAUAAUGACAGUACCGGGAGAAUAAGCUCCGGCUAACUCCGUG
rnacentral:rRNA from 1 species